rnacentral:misc_RNA from 1 species
ACACACUGGCAUGCCUGCGCACUCACGUUUUCCAUGCUCCGCUGCAUCACCCACUCUCGGCUUUCGGGUUCCAUACUACUCAGCGGCGCCGCUGUGCCUCGCCUGUCCCAGGUCACGUGCACUUCGACCUGGGCAUCCUCGAGCAGCCUUACUACAGCGAAGGCGUUGUGGUGCUCCGCGACGGCACCACUAAGGAAGGAUAUUCGCAAAAACGACCGCGGCGAUGCUCGACGACUGACUUUCGAGGAGCGCGCUGAGCGUCGCAUGGGCAAGACAAAGGACCAGCGCGAGAGCCGCGAGCAGCUCGCACAGGAGGCGCAGGUGAUGGUCUCUGAGGACUUCCCUGAAGAGCUGGAGGCCAUCUACGCCAAAACGUCCGAGAAGGCGAACAUCAGCGCCAUGAAGGUGCUGAACAUGGCCAAGUGCUUGGAGUUGCUAGAAGUGGAGGUGGCUGGCGGUCACACGGUGCUGCUCGUUAAGGUUGCGCAGGUGGUGAAGACGAGCACCACGACCAUCGAAAUUACGCCGAACUCCGCAUCCUUUGGCAACACAAUACUGCAGCGCGUGAGUCGAUUCGAUAGCGCCCUGCAAGUCUCCAAGGAGGGCACAAAGAUACGCGUCGUCAUACCACCCAUCACGACGGCGCGCCGCGACAAGACCGUCGCAGAGGUCAACAACCUCAUCUCAACCUUUCGCCAGCGCGUCAAGCAGUCGAGGACGAAGGCAGUGAAGGUACUUCAGGAUGCCGGUCUGGCUGAUGGGGUACAGCAAGAGCUUACUGCGCUCGUGGAUUCUACUGCCAACGCCUUUGUGGAGGAGAAGGCGGCAGAGCUGGAGUUGUUGUCAGAGGAGGUCAUGACAAUGGGCAUUGACGAGUCAGACGUCGCUGCUGGCCGCUAGCGCUACUCUAUCCCUGUGCGACGAUGCAUGGGGUAGCGCGGAGAUCGGGCGGGUGAGGGGACGACGCAACUGCAGUUGUGCUGAGAAGGCAAAGCGGAGCGCAUCGGCACCAGCGCCACAACGUGAGGCAGCGCUCUUGUCUUACCCCUCCUCCCAGCUGAAUGUGGGGCGGUGGCUACGAGUGGGUGGUCUUGCCUGUUGCCUCUGUGUCCGCUGACCGGCAGGAAAGCGGGAGGGCUAUGCGUGUAUAUACACUUUUUUACUCGUCGUCGUUCCCUUCCCCCGCCCUCCGCUCCCGCCUUGCGCCCGCAUCUGCGCGGUAUCUCACAAGGCAGCUGCAAAGACGGCGCCACAACACCGAAGAGGCACACAGACAGGCGGUCAAGUGACAGCGACCGCCAUCUCGAAUACGCGAGAGACGUGCAGUGAUAAAGAUGAAACUUUUCUUUCUGAG